CAGAACAAUGUCAGAUGGAACCAGAUUAACACCAGAUCUGGGUAGGUGUCGCUGGACACAAGUGUGAGGAAGGAAGCCAUGUGUGUGGAACUUGCAGACAUGUUGGGAGAGACCCAGAACACCAGAGAUGACCAUGGCGGGGUCUUCUUUUGGAGCAAAACACAGUGGGAGAGGAGUUCAGAUAUCUGUCUGUCUUUCCCAAGUGACUGUGGAGUUGAAAAGGCAUUGGAUCCCCAGAGCUGGAGUUACAGAUAGUUGUGAACCAUCUGACAUGGGUAUUGGGAACUGAACAGAACUUGGGUCCUCUGAAAGAAUAGCUAGUGCUCCUAACUGUUAAGCCAUCUCCCCAGUGCCCUCCCUCACUGACUUGUCAAAACAGUAGUUUGCUUCUCCUGCUGUAGCUCCUCCUCCCUCCUGCUGCAGGUCCUCCUCCCUCCUGCUGUAGUUCCUCCUCCCUCCUGCUGCAGGUCCUCCUCCCUCCUGCUGCAGGUCCUCCUCCCUCCUGCUGCAGGUCCUCCUCUCAUCUGCUGCAGGUCCAUUGUCCAUUGUGAGCUGCCUUCUGGUGUUUCUUUCUCACAGUCACUCAGAGACUCCAGCUAAGGCAUUCUCUCAAUGUGAGUUUUCACAAUAAUCAUAACAAUAAAG
rnacentral:lncRNA from 1 species